rnacentral:tRNA from 1 species
UAGCCUAGUGGUUAAGGCUACGGAUCGCCAAUCCGGAGACAGCGGGUUCGAUUCCCGU